rnacentral:rRNA from 1 species
GAUGAACGCUGGCGGCGUGCCUAAUACAUGCAAGUCGAGCGAAGCGGGGACGGGUGAGUAACACGUGGAUAAACUCCUCUAAGAAGGGGAUAACUUAGGGAAACCGGAACUAAACCGGAUACUUAUAGAUGGAUCCGCGCUGCAUUAGCUAGUGGGUAGGGUAACGGCUUACCAAGGCAACGAUCCCUAGCCGACCUGAGAGGGUGACCAGCCACACUUGAACUGAGACACGGUCCAGACUCCUACGGGAGGCAGCAGUAGGGAAUAUUCCGCAAUGGGCGAAAGCCUGACGGAGCCACGCCGCGUGAAUGAUGAAGGCCUUCGGAUCGUAAAGUUCUGUUAUUGAGGAAGCGGUAUUUAACCAGAAAGCCCCGGCUAACUACGUGCCAGCCGCCGCGGUAAUAC